rnacentral:rRNA from 1 species
GACGAACGCUGGCGGCGUGCUUAACACAUGCAAGUCGAACGAAGUGGCGAACGGGUGAGUAACGCGUAAUCAACCUGCCCUUCAGAGGGGGACAACAGUUGGAAACGAAUGCUAAUACCGCAUACUGAAGGAGGGGAUUGCGUCUGAUUAGCUGGUUGGAGGGGUACGGGCCCACCAAGGCGAGGCUCAGGAGCCGGUCUGAGAGGAUGAACGGCAACAUUGUGACUGAGACACGGCCCAGACUCCUACGGGAGGCAGCAGUGGGGAAUCUUCCGCAAUGGACGAAAGUCUGACGGAGCAACGCCGCGUGAGUGAAGAAGGUUUUCGGAUCGUAAAGCUCUGUUGUUAAGGAAGCGGUACUUAACCAGAAAGGGACGGCUAACUACGUGCCAGCAGCCGCGGUAAUAC